AUGUCCUUUAAAAUUAGUCCCGUGAGGCUAGCAAGGCAGGCUUAAAUAAGUAUGACUUAACUAUAAGCUCCUAGUCUCAAGAACUAGGAGCUUUUUUAU
rfam:Lactobacillus johnsonii NCC 533, complete genome.